rnacentral:rRNA from 1 species
GACGAACGCUGGCGGCGUGCUUAACACAUGCAAGUCGAACGGUGAAGGGACCAGCUUGCUGGUUCUGGAUGAGUGGCGAACGGGUGAGUAACACGUGAGUAACCUGCCCCCUUCUUCUGGAUAACCGCAUGAAAGUGUGGCUAAUACGGGAUAUUCUGGGUCUGUCGCAUGGCGGGCCCGGGAAAGAUAUUGCUUCGGUGGGGGAUGGGCUCGCGGCCUAUCAGCUUGUUGGUGGGGUGAUGGCCUACCAAGGCGGUGACGGGUAGCCGGCCUGAGAGGGUGGACGGUCACACUGGGACUGAGACACGGCCCAGACUCCUACGGGAGGCAGCAGUGGGGAAUAUUGCACAAUGGGCGCAAGCCUGAUGCAGCGACGCCGCGUGAGGGAGGGAGGCCUUCGGGUUGUAAACCUCUUUCGCCAGUGAAGCAGGCCUGCUCCGUGUGGGUGGGUUGACGGUAGCUGGAUAAGAAGCGCCGGCUAACUACGUG